GGGGAAUUUUGGACAAUGGGGGCAACCCUGAUCCAGCCAUGCCGCGUGAGUGAAGAAGGCCUUCGGGUUGUAAAGCUCUUUCGGCCGGGAAGAAAUCGGCGACUCUAACAUAGUCGCUGGAUGACGGUACCGGACUAAGAAGCACCGGCUAACUACGUGCCAGCAGCCGCGGUAAUACGUAGGGUGCGAGCGUUAAUCGGAAUUACUGGGCGUAAAGCGUGCGCAGGCGGUUUUGUAAGACAGUGGUGAAAUCCCCGGGCUCAACCUGGGAACUGCCAUUGUGACUGCAAGGCUGGAGUGCGGCAGAGGGGGAUGGAAUUCCGCGUGUAGCAGUGAAAUGCGUAGAUAUGCGGAGGAACACCGAUGGCGAAGGCAAUCCCCUGGGCCUGCACUGACGCUCAUGCACGAAAGCGUGGGGAGCAAACAGGA
rnacentral:rRNA from 1 species